UACAGAGGUCUCAAGCGUUGCUCGGAAUCACUGGGCGUAAAGGGUGCGUAGGCGGGUUUUUAAGUCAGGGGUGAAAUCCUGGAGCUCAACUCCAGAACUGCCUUUGAUACUGGCGAUCUUGAGUCCGGGAGAGGUGAGUGGAACUGCGAGUGUAGAGGUGAAAUUCGUAGAUAUUCGCAAGAACACCAGUGGCGAAGGCGGCUCACUGGCCCGGUACUGACGCUGAGGUGCGAAAGCGUGGGGAGCAAACAGG
rnacentral:rRNA from 1 species